rnacentral:tRNA from 1 species
CCGGGUGUAGCGCAGCUGGUAGCGCGCGUGGUUUGGGACCACGAUGCCGCAGGUUCAAAUCCUGUCACUCGGACCA